UCUUUUGACAGUUUUUCAUUUUGAACAGGCAGUUCGCAGCGCUCUCUAACCUAGGGCGCCUAAAAUCAUCCCUAUAAAUUCCCGAUCAAUCGAUGCAUCACCCAUUUUCCCGAUCCUUCCCUCCCAUUACUCUGAACUCUCACUGUAACCGUAGGGUACGGUCUCUGCCGCCGUUCUUCAUUGGCUUUUGCUUCAAAGGGGAUACUGACGACGGGAAUGAGGAAAAAACGGAAGUUAGCACCGCCGUUCAACCAAGCCAUGGAGAGACUGUUGAACAUCGGGAAUGCCCAAAAUACCAGGACAUGAAGCAACCAUCGACACUACAAGAACCAGAGACGAAGUAUUACUAUCCUCCUCUCCGUUCAAAAUCUCCGAAAUUGUAUCGAAAGAAGAUAGCAAUCAGAAGAAUUCUCUUAUCACUUUCAAGUUAACAAAUGUUAUUUUAUGUUAAUAUUGAUUUUGAUGUAGGUGGUUGGUCGAUGAAGUACUGAAACUUAACCUAAAGGUAUUCUACUUUUGAGAUGAUAAAAUCAAUAAAGUGCUUCCUUGCUGAUUUGAUAAUUAGAAGCUUCAGUAUCAGCCGAAUCUUAAGCUUUGGUUUUGGCUCCAACUCGUGAGCUUGCACAACAAAUUGAGAAAGUUAUGCGGGCUCUUGGUGACCCUCUUGAUGUGAAGGUUCAUGCUUGUGUGGGUGGGACUUGUGUCCGUGAGGACCAAUGCAUCCUCUCAACUGGGGUCCACGUUGUUGUUGGUACACAUGGGCGUGUUUUUGACAUGCUUAGGAGGCAGUCGCUACGUGCUGAUUACAUCUAGAUGUUUGUGUUGGAUGAAGCUGAUGAAAUUCUUCCAAGAGGAUUCAAGGAUCAGUUCUAUACGGGUCGAAAUUGAUUUGGUGGAGGCUACAAAGGUUCUUCUUGGGACUGACUGUGAAUCGGGGCCCUGGAAGGUGGAGGGCAAUGUCACAAGAAUAAACAUCUUGAAAUACACCGUGUUUCGUUGUUGCUAACAUAAGGAGAGACUACAAUAAAUGUGCAGAUGCAUGAACAAUAAGUGGCUUAGACAAGAGCUUCAACCUACUCUUAUGGGCCUGAUCCUCCACCCACCGCCACCUGUUUUUCGACACUUUCUUUCGUCAGAAUGCGAAUACACAACCUCCAGGUAAUAAAUGGGGAGCAUGUAAGUAAAGCUAUGAUUUUUAAUUUAUUAAGGUGUAACACUCAUGGAGUGGCUUGUGUUUUUUUGAAAUUGUUUAGGAUAAUAGCUGAUUCAGGUCUUAAUUUUCUUGUAUGUACUUGGAAAGCAUUGACCAAAUGUAAUUGCUAUUGGUGGAAGCUUUCUUGGCCCAUUGUUCGUGCACACUGCUCUUCAAACAGAUCCAGAGGCUAGUAAAUUAGCAGGAGGACGGCAGCUUCGCUUAAUGUGAUCCCUUUUAGAGAGGUGUAUACAACCCCACUAUGAUGAAGCAGCGUAUAUGAACAUUAGGGAUAGAAAAGGUGAAAAGAGCGGUUAUAUUUCUCUUCAUUCGUGGGUGUCUUAGUGAGCAAAGUUGAACAUUAAAGGAACUACCUACACUUUUAUUGGCCACAGGCUGUUUCAAAGCACAUGGUUGCUUGCUGUUAGCACAAAUCUUAAGGUUUGAUCUUACUGUAGUACAUUCUUUUGGUUUGUUUUCUUCACUUGGCAUAUCUGGAUGUGGUUUCUAUUAUGUUUAUUCAGUCAUAAAUCCUUCAUUUAUAUAGUUAUAUAGAUGUAUUGUAAUUUGUAA